rnacentral:rRNA from 1 species
AUUGAACGCUGGCGGCAUGCUUUACACAUGCAAGUCGAACGGUAACAGGCCGCCAGGUGCUGACGAGUGGCGAACGGGUGAGUAAUGCAUCGGAACGUGCCCAGUCGUGGGGGAUAACUACUCGAAAGAGUAGCUAAUACCGCAUACGAUCUAUGGAUGAAAGCGGGGGACCGUAAGGCCUCGCCCGACUGGGGCGGCCGAUGUCAGAUUAGGUAGUUGGUGGGGUAAAGGCUCACCAAGCCAACGAUCUGUAGCUGGUCUGAGAGGACGACCAGCCACACUGGGACUGAGACACGGCCCAGACUCCUACGGGAGGCAGCAGUGGGGAAUUUUGGACAAAGGGCGCAAGCCUGAUCCAGCAAUGCCGCGUGCAGGAAGAAGGCCUUCGGGUUGUAAACUGCUUUUGUACGGAACGAAACGGCUCUGGUUAAUACCCGGGGCUAAUGACGGUACCGUAAGAAUAAGCACCGGCUAACUACGUG